rnacentral:lncRNA from 1 species
CCCUCCUUCUGUAUUCCCCACAGGUUUACAAAGAGGCCGAAAGCUCAACCAAUCAGGAAGCUCUGAAGUUGGGAAGUCCCUACCCUGUGGGGCGGGGCCUCUGAUCACACUUCCUGUUCUCUGAGAGCAGGGCAUCCCCGCCAGAGGGUGGCUGUGCCCAACCGGAACCUGUCCCUCCGUCCUCUGCUCAUGAUUCUUUGCUGUGUGCACGCCCAGUUCAGCAGACAAGGAGCUCCUUGACAAAAGGAUGUUACGGACAACACCUGUAUACCCCAGCACGUGCUUGGAGGAUCCAAGUACAGGAUGGACAAGUGGCAGCCCAGUCCUCAUCUGUUCCCCGCCCCUGCACACACCAGGAGUGAUGGAAUGCCACAGACCCAGGCUCUCUGCUCCCCAGCCUGACUCCCAGAUCCAUAACAUUUUCGACGUGAACAGUCUUCAGAGGUGCAGCCUGAAGCCGCAGGGAAAUGAACUUGGUGCCCCCCCUUGCCCCACCCCCAAGACCCCCAAGGAGAAGCUGUCUCCAGGAAAGGUGGGGGGAAAAAAAGCCAGAGAGACAAA